UACGAAGGGGGCUAGCGUUGCUCGGGAAUGACUGGGCGUAAAGGGCGCGUAGGCGGUUUGGUACAGUCAGGUGUGAAAUUCCCGGGCUCAACCUGGGGGCUGCACUUGAUACGUAUGGACUGGAGUGGGGAAGAGGGUCGUGGAAUUCCCAGUGUAGAGGUGAAAUUCGUAGAUAUUGGGAAGAACACCGGUGGCGAAGGCGGCGACCUGGUCCUUGACUGACGCUGAGGCGCGAAAGCGUGGGGAGCAAACGGG
rnacentral:rRNA from 1 species